AACAAUAUAAGAGUGUUGAGUAUUAUUAUUACAUAACCUGGGAGGCAAAACCCCCUCCCGAUAAACAGUAAAAAGUUUUUCUUAAUGGAGGACCUUUCCUCCCGCAGCUUCAGUCUUGAUUUUCUUCUUUCGGUACCACCUUGGAACAGAAGCAACAAAAAUUUGCUGCUUCUUCACCUAAAACAACAUGGGACAAAGCCCUGAGUACGAAAUGUACUUUCGCAAGUCUUACCCAUCAAAAUAAAAGACUCUCAAGGAUAUGCUGGCUUUUGGGAAUCAAGGUAUGGCUUAUCAAUAAUCAAAGACUCUAUUUGCAGAAAUGCUUACUAAUAGUGGAUCCUUAAAAAUCCAAUUUUAAUUGUUAGGUUAAAUAAAGUUACCUGUAUCUAGGGUUCUUUCUACCCUAGUUCAAUCACUUGACCUAUACUAGCCAAUUUCUUUUCAACCCUUCUUAUUCACUGGAAUGAUACGUGUAAGUCAGUGACCAAGUCUUCAUGUCUGCGAAGUUACGGUGAUCCGAAUCGAUUAUACUCAGCUGAGGAUCUCCAAUCACAUGACAUAUGUAGCACUUAACCCUUGCAUAUGUCAACUCACCACCGGGGUUCUUAAGACCAGAUCAGGUUCACGCCAACCGACAGCACAGAUACACCACUGUCCAGCCUCUUGCCACGGAGGGUGCACGCUACUCUCGCCAUCUCUCCACUCCCAUUGUGUGUUAUCUUAUUCUGGUAUUAGUCUGCCCGAGGCAAAGCUUACACAUGAUGAUGCAUGUGACCAGUUAAAGGGUCCUCGUUCAGCAGGCCUACAUCGAGAAGGUCCUUAAUCGACUCAGAUGGAGACACUACACUGAGACUCUCUUCUCGUGCAAGUCACCCGCCCGGUCUCAGCUUUAUCAUUUCACCCAAAGUUUGGUACCUGGCAGAGGUACAUCUUUUCCGAUGUUGAACCCAUCAUGGCCAUGAUGGAUCCACCAUCAAGUUUUGUUUUUGAAAACAUCCCACCCACUUUGAAGCAUCGUCUUUUGUCAAAACAAAACAUUUUGUUUUUCUAGAGCAGAGCUAAGCAUAAGAAAAUCCUUUUUGUAAAACAGGGAUUUAAGGAGAAGUAAUCAAAUCCAAGGAAGGAAAUGCAGCAACUGGUUUAGCACACAACUCCUAUCACCUAAUGCAUCAAGUAAGUGAGAAAGAUUUUAAAUAGCAAGGAGGUGGCCAAUGCACCGGGGCUUGCCUUGUGUGAUAGAUGAAUCAAGCUCUGUUCCACAGAUAUCAAAGUAAAAGCAGUUUCCUGCCUGAGGUUCUUCACGUUGUGGUGGUGUAGUCCUCGCUUCUUCAACUUCUAUUUCCUCCUCGUUCUCUAGAUAUAGCCAUAUAUAAUCAUGAAUGCUCAUGUAAUGCUCAUGAAAAUGCUAAGAUAAUAAAAGUUUAUUAUCUAAUGUCUUGAAUAUAACUUUCCUUCACGGAUCUCCGAGAAACUAGGGUUUUCGGAGUCUAUAGUGAAGCUCAUAGGGCAGGGGUUGGGGUUUUGGGUUCUAAGUACCAAACAUGGUUCAAAGCAUACCAAAUUUUACCCAAGGCUUCUAAAUAAUAUUUAAAGUUUACCUAACAAGUUUGCUUAAUUUUGGAAUUAUUAUUUAUUCUCUAAAAUUCCAGAAGUAUGGGUUUUGGCUAUUUUAAAUAUCCCAAAAUUCCCUAUUGGAACUAAAAAUCAUGAAAUUAUUUUUAUUAAAUACUAUAGAAAAUUAGGAGCCUAGAAAAAUUGGUCUAGUGUAUUUAGCAUUUUUUUCUCGAAUUCUUUAUGGAUUUCUAAACUUUCUCAGAAAAAGAAAAGGAAAAGUCAUCAACAGAACUGGGCUGAUAUCGGCCCACCCAGCCCAGGCCUGUGCAGAAUCCGGGCGCACCCGCGACCACGCGGUGGACUUUGCGCAAAGGCCCUUGAUGGUUCAAAAAUCUAAGAAGUCCUCGACUGGUUUUAAUGAGUCACUGACAUGUUUUCCAUAGCCCCCCAAACUUCUAUGUCUUUUAAAGUUAGGUCCCUAACCCCGGACGGUGGCGAGGACCCCUUCGUCGCGCCACGGCCAUGGGAUACCCAAGCACCUGUUGCUCCCUGCCCCACCAAAUUCUACCCUAUCUUGAGCUGUUAUGGACAUCAAUUUGGCUAGCACACUCUGAGAACGCUCUACCCAUGCACACGGCGGAAACCGUGACGUCGAGCCCGCCUUCCGACUAAAUCACGCCUGAAUUGGUCAAAUGGUUGCCACGAUGAGCUUCAUGGGUACGCAGAGCUGCUAAAACAACACGCGAGAAGCGUAGAACCAUACCAGAAUGAUCCGACCACGGAGCGCGGAGAAUUUGUACUCGCCGGUGACUCAGAAGGGGGAAAACGUCGUUGCGACGAGCUCUGGUGGAAUUAGGAGGUCUGGUUGGGGCUAUACGGUCGCAAAGAGCUAUUGAUUCACCAUGCACACUCAAUUUGGGGAGAGGUGGAGAAGGCAGCGCGAAUUUUGGCUUCUACCAAGUUCAC
rnacentral:lncRNA from 1 species